GAUGAACGCUGGCGGCGUGCCUAAUACGUGCAAGUCGAGCGAACAGACGAGAGUGCUUGCCCUCUCUGACGUUAGCGGCGGACGGGUGAGUAACACGUGGGUAACCUACCUAUAAGACUGGGAUAACUUCGGGAAACCGGAGCUAAUACCGGAUAAUAUUUAGCUUCGCAUGAAGCAAUAGUGAAAGACGGUUCUGCUGUCACUUAUAGAUGGACCCGCGGUGUAUUAGCUGGUUGGUGAGGUAACGGCUCACCAAGGCAACGAUACAUAGCCGACCUGAGAGGGUGAUCGGCCACACUGGGACUGAGACACGGCCCAGACUCCUACGGGAGGCAGCAGUAGGGAAUCUUCCGCAAUGGACGAAAGUCUGACGGAGCAAUGCCGCGUGAGUGAAGAAGGUUUUCGGAUCGUAAAACUCUGUUGUAAGGGAAGAACAAGUACGUUAGUAACUGAACGUACCUUGACGGUACCUUACCAGAAAGCCACGGCUAACUACGUG
rnacentral:rRNA from 1 species